rnacentral:snoRNA from 1 species
AAGAUCAUACUUUUAGGGAUCAUUUCUAUAGUGUGCAUCUUCAAAACGUCAUCAAACUAUGGCGAAUCCUCAACUACGAUAAUGAGUUGUAGGGAUUCCUUCUGAGCAUGAAGCUUGGUUCGUUGUAUCUUCGGAUAUUGCUAAGUAUUAAGAAUUGUUCUUUGAUUUCCAAUUGGAGAUCUAGGAGGAAGGAAUCUCCGGCUGAGUAGU